rnacentral:rRNA from 1 species
AGAGUUUGAUCAUGGCUCAGAACGAACGCUGGCGGAAUGCUUUACACAUGCAAGUCGAACGAGUACUUUUUACGAGUGGCGAACGGGUGAGUAACGCGUGGGAACCUACCUUGAGGUAAAGAAUAACUACAGGAAACUGUAGCUAAUACUUUAUGUGCUCUACGGAGGAAAAAUUUAUUGCCUUUUGAGGGGCCCGCGUCAGAUUAGCUUGUUGGUGAGGUAAUGGCUUACCAAGGCAAUGAUCUGUAGCUGGUUUGAGAGGAUGAUCAGCCACAUUGGGACUGAGACACGGCCCUGACUCCUACGGGAGGCAGCAGUGGGGAAUCUUGGACAAUGGGGGAAACCCUGAUCCAGCAAUUCCGCGUGAACGAUGAAGGCCUUAGGGUUGUAAAGUUCUUUUAGUAAGGAAGAUGAUGACGGUACUUACAGAAAAAGCUCCGGCUAACUCCGUGCCAGCAGCCGCGGUAAUACGGAGGGGGCAAGCGUUGUUCGGAAUUACUGGGCGUAAAGAGCGAGCAGGUGGUUCAUUUAGUCAAUUGUGAAAUCUCAAGGCUUAACCUUGAAAUUGCUUUUGAUACUGAUGAACUAGAGUUUGGGAGAGGAUAGUGGAAUUCUAAGUGUAGAAGUGAAAUUCGUAGAUAUUUAGAGGAACACCGACAGCGAAGGCAACUAUCUGGCCCUUUACUGACACUCAGAAGCGAAAGCUUGGGUAGCAAACAGGAUUAGAUACCCUGGUAGUCCAUGCUGUAAACGAUGAGUGCUAGAUGUUAGAAGUUUACUUCUAGUAUCGAAGCUAACGCGUUAAGCACUCCGCCUGGGGAGUACGGCCGCAAGGCUAAAACUCAAAUGAAUUGACGGGGACCCGCACAAGCAGUGGAGCAUGUGGUUUAAUUCGACGCUACGCGAAGAACCUUACCAGCUCUUGACAUGCUAAGUUUUGGAUUUGAGAGAUUAAAUCCUUCAGUUCGGCUGGGCUUAGUACAGGUGCUGCAUGGCUGUCGUCAG